GUCCUUUGUGCUUUGCGAGUGUGAUCACUGGGUUUUCACACUCAGGUGUGAGAGGUAACUUGUUAUCCCUCAAACCUUAUUAUGAUGGGCACAUUGCCCAUCUGAUG
ensembl:snoRNA